GUCACGACUACGGACUUACGGGGGAAGGAAGCGCAGAGGUCUGACAUACUGGGAAGGGGUUUUUAUUAACAAACAAAGAAAUACAAAUAAAGACUGGCGCGGUGGCCGAAAACGAUUUAAACUUAAAUAAAGAACAUAAACAAACCCGUAGGCGUGUGGCGAUUGCCAGAACUCAAAACACAUAACACUAAACAAGGUCAAGUUCGUGCAUAGAGUUCACGAAAAUGCCAGCGACCCCGAACGGGCGGAACUUCCGGCAUUUAUGGGGCGUCAGGAUUAAAGUCAGGUGUGGAGCCCAGCUGCAGGCAAUCCUGACAGAGCCCCCCCUCCAAGGGCUACGUCCUCGGAGCCCCAACAGUACCAUCAGUGGAGGCGGCGGGGUGGACGGCGGCAACCACAGGGCUCCUGCCCUGCUGUAUCCUCCCCUUGGAGGACCCGGUCCCUCGGGCUGGCUCCCCGGCGUGGUCAGGCGUGGCGGCCCCGGUCCCUCGGGCUGGCUCCCCGGCGUGGUCAGGCGUGGCGGCCCCGGUCCCUCGGGCUGGCUCCCCGGCGUGGUCAGGCGUGGCGGCCCCGGUCCCUCGGGCUGGCUCCCCGGCGUGGUCAGGCGUGGCGGCCCCGGUCCCUCGGGCUGGCUCCCCGGCGUGGUCAGGCGUGGCGGCCCCGGUCCCUCGGGCUGGGCUCCCCGGCGUGGUCAGGCGUGGCGGCCCCGGUCCCUCGGGCUGGCUCCCCGGCGUGGUCAGGCGUGGCGGCCCCGGACCCUCGGCCUGGCUCCCCGGCGUGGUCCCGCUUGGCGGCCCCGGACCCUCGGCCUGGCUCCCCGGCGUGGUCCCGCUUGGCGGCCCCGGACCCUCGGCCUGGCUCCCCGGCGUGGUCCCGCUUGGCGGCCCCGGACCCUCGGCCUGGCUCCCCGGCGUGGUCCCGCUUGGCGGCCCCGGACUCCCGUACCUGCACACAAUAAUCAGGGCCGAUCCAUCUGGGUACGUGUGGGCCCUGUCUCCACAUGUCCCCUCUGACACAUCUUGUGUCACCCCCUGCACCACGCAGGGAGAUUGUCCCAAAGCCUCCGGCGACUGUUCCAGGCACCCCAGGCUGGUGCCUUCUGGGACUAUGCAGCCCCUCUCGCUGCCCGGCCCUGGUGCCAAGGGGGGGGCAUUGCCAGACCAUCCG
rnacentral:lncRNA from 1 species